rnacentral:rRNA from 1 species
UACGUAGGGCGCAAGCGUUGUCCGGAAUUAUUGGGCGUAAAGAGCUCGUAGGCGGUCUGUCGCGUCGGAUGUGAAAGCCCGGGGCUUAACCCCGGGUCUGCAUUCGAUACGGGCAGACUAGAGUGUGGUAGGGGAGAUCGGAAUUCCUGGUGUAGCGGUGAAAUGCGCAGAUAUCAGGAGGAACACCGGUGGCGAAGGCGGGUCUCUGGGCCGAUACUGACGCUGAGGAGCGAAAGCGUGGGGAGCAAACAGG